rnacentral:misc_RNA from 1 species
AAGGACCUGAAAGGGCAGGAUCUUCUGUUUCUCACGGUCGUAUGCAACCAGUUCACAGUCAAGAACAAAUGAAGUUGCAGAUGAUUUCUUCAAUCUUGAGAUAGCAGUAACAACGUCAGGAAACUUUCCAGUAUUUCUUUCUGCAUUUCGGCUGUAUAUCUCAACGGAACCAUCUUCCAUGUAGUGUAUCUGGGCACGUUCACCAUCAUACUUGUAUUCACAUGUGAACUCCAUAUCCUGAAACUUAUCAAGAAUUUCAGAUACUCCUUUGGUUGGCUUAGCUAGCAUAGGUCCAACAGGAACACCAGGUGAGAAACCGCAUGUUUCUGAA